AUUGAGCAAGCAGAUUCCCAAAACAAAUACUAGAAACCCUACUCCCAAAUAGAAGUUUGAUUGAGCUCUCUCAUGGUGUUUUCUACCCGUCUCCUUUACAAAUCUCACCAGGUCUUUCGUCUUUACUCCCAAAGCUAAAGCCAACGGUUUUUUUUUCAGUUCCACAAACAAUUAGACAAUCAACUUCUUUUCUUCUCUGUUUCAAUUUUUUUUGGCGUUUUGGAGGUUGAGUUUUUUUUUUGAGUUGAAGUUCUUGGACUCGGUAACUCUACGAGUCCGAGUCAUUGCGUGCGAGUUUUGAUUCUGGUGAUGUUAUUAUCUCCACCGUCGAUUACUCAGUGAGCUGUUGUAAUUAUCAAAUAAGUUUGUUACUCGUAUUCGGUUUUUUGUUUUUGUGCUUACUUGAAAACUUGUGAUCCCGCCUUUGGUUUAUUUGAAAUCUCUCUCCAGAUCUGAGUUUUCUCCGGUUUCAAUCAACGGCAUCGGUGAUGUCGAGUUUUAUUCUUUCGAAUCCCAGUGGUACCGCAGGUGACUGGAGUCACAUUAUAAAGCAGAUUGGAAUGUCUACUUUCGCAGGAUUAAUCAGGACAAGAACAAAUACAACACCCCAAAAUACCGUUUAUGUUUUUUAUGGUGAAUAAUUUCUGUUUGGGUUGAGGUUAUACUGUUUAGACAUAUAGGUUGCUGAAUGUGCUGAAAUACCUAGGUUAAUUCAAAAUGUGAUUAUUUGUUCUUUAGCGGGUUGCUAGUUAAUACUUUAACCUUAACAUAUUUAUUAGACCAACAAGGAUAUAAUUGCACAAAUCAUACAUGCUAGUAUUUCUGGUGAUAUAGUUCUUGCAGCAGCUUACAAACAUGCUAGUAAUUAAAACUGUUUCUUACUUGGUUGUAAGUUCUCCUCUUCGGAAUACCAUCUUCAAGCAUUGUAACACAAAUUUCUACCAUAAAACCUUAUGGAUAUCCUAUGUUUUAUGCUGGUUUAAUAGCAAGAAAAACCCAAGAUUCCUUUGUAGCUUUAGAUCGUCUAUGCAUCUAUCUGAAAUUAUGAUUGUGGCUAUGUUUAAAUUUCAAUGGUCCUUUAUGUACUUGACGUAUUAUGAUUGUAGUUGUAGUUCGUAACACUCCCUAAUUAUCCAUCUCUUUUGCAUAUAAGCUCAUCAUUCCAUGCUUGUUUUCCAUAUAAUGUUUUAUGGUUUUAUAGUCGAACCUCUGAUUUUGCCCUUUUCGACAGAGGGGAAACUUUAGGUGCAGUACAAGUUCAAUAGGAGUGCAAUCCCAACUUGAGAAGCUUCCAAACUUUUGAAAGUCGAAGUUACCGAUUGCUCCCAAGAACUAACCAAGGAAAUGAAAUCUAAAUCCAAAUUCUCAAAUUCAUAUUUCCAAACAUAGCAUUAGGAAAUUCAUAUUUCUGAGCCUGCUGUAGUAGCCUUCAUCUAUGCCCUUGAGGCCUUAAGCGUACUUGGGUUC